CAGGUGUGAAUAUGUGCAUAUAUAUGCACACACCAGCAGGAAGGAGAACAGGAGUUUGGGAGAGUAACAGGAAGGAGCAAAUCAGUUCACUUUCCACCAUAAGAAACCCUCCACACCUGGCUUCCUGCAGCCUCCAGCAUACCCCUCUCUUGAGUGUGCACUGCUGGAACCAAAGAAAUUGUAAUUUGACCUUGACAAACUUGAUGAGUGCUGAACUGGAAGUUCAUGGGCCGAAAGGACUGGGCUGACCGACACAGAGCUAAAAGAGAUACAUUCUUCAGUUUUAGAUUUAAAAACAAAACAGAAAAUUUGAGCCUAAGCCAGAAAGUUUGGCUUUGUCAUGUCAGUAGUAUUUAACGAUGUUAUUUGGCUGGAGCAGCAAGUUCUGCAAAUGAAAAACAACUUGGCCUCUUUUCUCCCUUCUUUCUUUUCCCUGUUGGUUCCCAGCUCAGUCCCUCACUCUCCUGAAGCUUCACCUCUGUAGUCUAAAGGCACCUGGGACAAGGAAACCCCCAUGUGCACUGGAUACCAAUCCAGCCCACAGCCUGCUCCCUGCUGUGAUGCUUGCUUCUGAGGGACCCAGAUGUCCUGGUUAUCCAUUCUGACAAGAAUGGUGUUGGGGUGGGUCAGAGUAGUGUCCUCUCAUUUUCAGGAAGGAGAAAUGGGGGUUCAAAAAAGAAAAGAAAUGGAAGGGCAGGGGACACGGUACUUACUAUCUAUUGACUAGUUGCUCUGCAUGAGUAUUUGAAGUUCAAACAUCCCUGAGAGAUGGUUAUGGUAGGUAAUAAUAUCCCCAUUUUAGAGAUGAGAAAAUUGAAGCUCACAGGGGUUAAGUGUUCUACUGAAGGUCACCUGAUCUGUGGGUGGCCAAAUCUUUUGUAUUCAAAAAAGUUAACCAUGUGUAGGGAAAUGAUUGGCUCUGAGUCAGUGAGGCGUUUGAGGUCCAUAGCAAAAUGUCUCUAGCCUCCAUUUGUUCUCAGCUUGGAACAUUUGCUGAGGAUUUCUUCCUCAGGCCUCAUUCAUCUCUUUCUUCCUCAAAGAUUUCCUUGAUUCCCUAAGCCAGAAAGAAUCACUUCCCUCUGUCCCUUCCAUGUAUCUAUUAAUUAUCACCUGUGUUGAAGCAUCAGUCAGGUGUGACUUGUGGUGUGGUUGCUGGGGUAUCCCCAUCUUGAGAAGGCCAAGGUUUAUGGAGACAAGGUGUGAGUACCAGGGAAAAGGAGACUUCUCCACUCCCAGGCUUACCAGCACACUUAAAACCUAGAGUCUGUGAUUUCUGUGCUUUCAUGGGUCUUGCUAAACUGGGGCCUAACCACAUGGCACUUGGGUGCUAGCAAAAAGCCUCUAUCCUAUUGGGAAACAUGGAGGACAGAGGAGAGUGGCGUGGGAUAUGGGCUCUGAGCUCCCCCAAAGCAGGGUGUGGGUCUGCUCAGAAGUGGUAUCAACUGAAUAAAUGAAUAACAAUUUGCUGUCGCUACUCUCAUAAGCCACCUCGUUAGUCCUGCGUCAUAAAAGCCACGGGAAGAGGGUAGGGUAAAUAUCAUUCCCCAACUCCCUCUGUGUUUAGCCUAAGCAUGACGGUGUGAUCGGGCACUGGCUGCUCUUCCAAGGCCUGCCUGGGUCACCAGCCCUGCCUUUUUGCCUACUUUGCAUGGCAUCUGGGAGCUGCACAGCUAAGGUCUGACCUCUCUGCCUCUUGGCCUACCUCUGGUGGCUCUGUGCUGCAAUCUCCUUGGUGUGACCCUCCACCUUGCUGAGAAGAUAACACAGAGAGAACAGACCACAGGGUGGCCCAGGGCCUUAGUCCUUUUCUCAAGCUAAGAAGGCCUAACAGAAGUGGCAAAGGUGUGCCCAAGCCUGCAGCUCUGGCCGUGGCUCUCCACAAAAAACUAGCUUAUCCUAAGUUGAAUCCAGGGAACAAAGUGGUGUGUGUGGGGUGUGUGUGUGUGUGUGUGUGUGUGUGUGUGUGAGAGAGAGAGAGAGAGAGAGUGUGUGUGAGAGAGAGAGAGAUUUUACACACAUGUGCAUCCAUAGGAGCCUCAUAGUAUUUAGACAGACUAGAAUUUUCCUGGACAGAGUUUGAGGUUCUCUCCAUUUUAUAAACAGGCGAACAGUGUAUUUUAAUUUACCUGAAACAUGGGACAACAAAAAAAAAUGCAGGCACAACCUUCAGCCACCCAGGAGGAGGGGUCCUUGCUCAGCUGUUUCCUCUCUUCUUCCUAAAAGCCCUCUUCCACUGCCCUGUGUUCUGGAUCCCUUCCUUUGCUCACCUGGAGCAUCCCUCCUGUCCCCACAGCCCGUGUUAGAAACUAAGCAGAAGGUAUCUUUGAGGAAGUAAAGAUCCUGCUCAAGAUCUAGCAUCCCCAUGUGUGAGUCCCUCCCUGCCCUCCACGGGGCGCUGCCUAUCCCAGCAGGCACACAUCUACCUAAAUGACACUUGUGCCCUGAGUGCUCUUUCUCAUGUCACUUUGCAACAAACCCAAGUGGGGAUGACCUCCUUGCCUGCACUGUACAGGUGAGAAGCCUGGGGCUCAGGGAAGUCAAGCCCUUGUUCAUGGCCCUCACUCAGCUCAUUCCCAUCAGCAGUGGGAUUGGACUCUCAGCCUUCCUGAUCUCUAGUUUACAUUUUGGCCCGGUGGGCUGUAGACUGCUUCAGAGUAGAUGCACAGUGUCCCAGGAUUCUCCAGGCCCUCUGGGCCCUGAGUGACCUGGCAGGAGGCCCAGGGCUGCGUGUCUCCCUCUACCUCCUGUCCGCACUCCAGAAGCACCAGCCCAAGCUGAUAAGCAUGGCAGGUGCUUGUGAUGUGCCUCUGACACCACUGGAGCCCUCUGAGGAGUCAGCUUGUGGGUGUCUGCAGAAUCCAGUGCCCCUCCCUCACCUUGGAAGGGGCUCCUUUGACACCAGGACCACUGGUUCCUCUAGAGCAAGUGGCCCCAAAGAGCUCUGGCUCCCGGCUGUCAGCACCAGCAAUCCUACCCAGGAGCUAAGCCCUGGCACUUCCCAGGUCUGCAAGAGGCCAGGAUUCCUUUCCAGAAAACACUUCAUCUCUCUCUAAGUCCAGGGCCUGUUCCCUGGCCAGUGUCUUCAUAGUUCAGAUUCCUGUAACUUGAAGAGGUUGGUGCCGUGAGCACUGGACUUUCCAGCCGAGUUCCAUGAGUAAGGUGACGCCUUUCCAUUAAAUGCCAGGUCCUUGAGUCCUUUCAGCCACUAAUGAAUUAGAGGAACUCUCCCCAAAUUCUGGUGGCCUGUGAUCCCACAGAGAUACUGCAGGUGUCUCUAUCAAAGGAGCUUCCAUCACAGAUGAGCUGGAUGGAAUAAAACCCUGGGGCCAAGGGUUCCAGAACUGGAUGGAAAGGGAAUAAGUGAAAGUUGGCAGUGAUGAUGCAGGACCUGGGGAACUGGCCUCAACGGAUGCAGGAGUAUCUGCACCUGACACACAUGAGGAGUGUCAUCUUACAUGGGGUACUUUCUAAAACCAGUGCAUAAGAAAAUGUGGUAUGGGAUCUUCCUCACCUCUUCCUUCUGAUGGAGCAGUCUUGCAUUAAGAUGGACCAGCCACUGUUUCCAUCAGCAGGGGAACUGAUGCUGUCAUUUUGUGUGAACAUGCAAUGCAGUGAUUACCUUACACAUAGGGACCAUGUGUUGUGACAAGCAUGUACCUUUAAGCACUAGACCUCUAAGCACUCAGUGUGGGAGCUGGGCUGACUCAGGCAGACACAUGCUUUCCUGCUCCCAGAGCAUGUGUUCACUGAUUGGAGCAGCAGCCCAGUGACCCACAGGAUUUCACCUAGUUAGUGGCCAUGUGAUAUGGUUGCACAGUGUUUACACUCUGCAUAUCCAUGCCAGGGUGUAGGCUGUGCAAAGUAGCAGGGUCAGGCAAAUGACAUAAAGAAGCUGAGAGGCUGCACCUGAACUUGAGCCCCAUGCACCUAGGCCACCUUUGGCUUCUUUCCACUUGGAUUCUUCUUCUGGUAUGGCUGUCGCUCUGUUUUACACAGGGAGGCAGCCUGGGUUGGUUUCUCUACAAAACAAUGAGGUUUCUCUAGUGCACUCUCGUUUUGGAGUGGCCAUCCUGCCCUGCACUGAAAGGAAUCAUUAGUUAAGGGGGUCAUUAAUCCUACAAACUGGAGGCAGACGUCUCCUCCCUGGUGUAGAAAGAGGGACAACAGGUGAGCCACUGGUGUGAUUCUAUCUGUCAGAGCAAAUUGACAAGUGGUAGGGGAAAGGCAUGGGGCACUUUAGAUGACAAAGCAAUAGCUGAGACAGAAGAACUAAGUAGCCCAAAAGGCUUGUGGUUGGGAAAAUGAAGGGGAGCCCCAGAACUAAGGAAGCUGUCAUUGAAACAGAGGAGAUAAGGGAAAGGGCACCUAAUUGUGCCUAGAUUGCAAUAAUCUGAAAAUUUUUCUUCAAAUGACUGGGUUUUUUUUCCCCCUUCUGGAAAACCAUCUGAAAGCAGAAGUAACAAGUGUUCUGCAAAUAUUUAUACCAGCAUCUUAAAAUUCAUGACUUUUUAUGAUAAAAGUAGUACAAUGUUUGAUAUGAAAAAGGAAAAUAUCAAAGUAAUAGAUAACCAACAAAGGGAAAGCCUUGUACAAUUCCACCAUGCUGGAAAAAAAAAUUCAGCGGUUUAGGGUGUUUAUAAUAGGAUUUUAACCAAUCAUUUGUUUAUAUAGUAGAGACAUGUGCAGAAGGGCAGCAGUGUUUGAGCUUGCCUUCUACCAUCUGUCUGGAGAGAACUCUGCCAGCCUCUUAAAAAACAGAGUUCCACCAUCCACCUGAUGGCAGCUUCCUGCAUUUUCUGAUAUGGAAUGGAGUCCCCAAGCCCUGGGUUGCCUUUCCAAGUCAGUAGUAGCAAUGUCACCUUGUACACUUCUCACUGGUGAUUGGUAUGAUGUCUGAGAUGAGGGACAAUAUAUUGUAAUAUAACAAUAAAUAUAUGCUUGGGCUCAAAGAAUUUUUUUUUUGAGGUAGUUCAGAUUUGGCCUAGGGUCUCACACAUGCUAGACAAAUGCUCUACCACUGAGCUGCAUCCCCAGCCCUAUAUGUUUGGUUUCUGCCUCCUGGUUCUUGACACAGAGCUCCUAAGUCCCUUGUAAAAUGCUCCUUGUGCUAAGAGAAACUUGUUCUGAUAGUUGUUUUUUCUUUUUGACACUUUAUAAUGAACAUAUAGAGUCUAUACAUUAUACAUUGUCUGUUGAUCAAAUCAAGGUAGUUAGCAUCUCCAGCAUGUCAUGUAUUUAUCAUUUCUUUGUGAUGAGUACUUUCAAAAACCUCUCUUCCACUGUUUCAAAAUAUGCGAUACCUUUUGAUACAGAGUUCCUAAACCCCUUGGAAUUUCCUGCGUGACAGGAGCAACUUUUGUUCUGCUGACAUGACUCUUAGUGGGCUCCUGAAGAGCCUCAGAAUGGGGGCUGGUGGUCAGAGGAACCAACCAUGUGAUUAGAUGGUUGGAGAUUUCAGCCUCAUCUCAAUCCACCUCCACCUCCAUGUGGGGGUAGGGCUGAAGGUUGAGUGGAUCUCCAAUGGUCAAUGAGUGAAUCAUCAUGCCUCUGUAAUGCUGCCUCCAUAAGCACCCCCAAAGGAUUGAAUUCACAGAGCUUCAAGACAGCUGAACACGUGGAGCUAUCUGGAGGAGGCAGAAAGGGUGACAGCUUCAUGCCCCUUCCCACAUGCUUUACCCUCAGCAUCUCUUCCAUUUGGCCGCUCAUCUACAUGAAAUAAAUGGGAAUCAGAGGAGCUGAGAGAUCAUGGCUUCUUUGAAAACCAUAGAGAAACUAUACCAGCAGACUUUAGUAAUAGCACACCUCCCUCAGGUGGAAGCCUGGUUGACAUGGGUCCUCCUGACCCUAUCCUAAGGGGGUAUUGAUUGACAGGUGAGGCACAAGGGCUUGCACUAAUCAUCACCUUACUCUGGACAUAAACCCUGCCAACUGUUCUUGAAUCUGUGUCACACACAACUACUGUGAGAAUAUGACUCAUUUUAUUCA